rnacentral:rRNA from 1 species
UACGUAGGUGGCAAGCGUUGUCCGGAUUUACUGGGCGUAAAGAGUGCGCAGGCGGUCGUUCAAGUCGCGUGUGAAAGCCCCCGGCUCAACUGGGGAGGGUCACGCGAUACUGAUCGACUCGAAGGCAGGAGAGGGUAGUGGAAUUCCCGGUGUAGUGGUGAAAUGCGUAGAUAUCGGGAGGAACACCAGUGGCGAAGGCGACUACCUGGCCUGUUCUUGACGCUGAGGCGCGAAAGCUAGGGGAGCAAACAGG